CCACCAUCAGGCCCCCGGGCCUGUGUUGGGGACCUGCGGCUGCCCGCAGGCCCCGAAAUUCAGUGGCGGUCGCGCCGUAGCAACCGAGCGUAGUAACUAAACUUCUCGCUCUGGCUCGCUGGGCGCGCUCCGGCCGUAAAACACCCCCCCUUUACGCAAA
rnacentral:misc_RNA from 1 species